AGAGCGAACGCUGGCGGCAGGCCUAAUACAUGCAAGUCGAACGGCUCUUCGGAGCAGUGGCGGACGGGUGAGUAACGCGUGGGAAUGUGCCCUUUGGUACGGAACAACUGAGGGAAACUUCAGCUAAUACCGUAUGUGCCCUUCGGGGGAAAGAUUUAUUGCCAUUGGAGCAGCCCGCGUUGGAUUAGCUAGUUGGUGGGGUAAAGGCCCACAAGGCGACGAUCCAUAGCUGGUCUGAGAGGAUGAUCAGCCACACUGGGACUGAGACACGGCCCAGACUCCUACGGGAGGCAGCAGUAGGGAAUCUUGCGCAAUGGGCGAAAGCCUGACGCAGCCAUGCCGCGUGAAUGAUGAAGGUCUUAGGAUUGUAAAAUUCGUUUACACCGGGGAAGAUAAUGAACGGUACCCGGAGAAGAAGCCCCGGCUAACGUUCGUGCCAGCAGCCGC
rnacentral:rRNA from 1 species